CUACAAUUGAAAGAAAAAUGAGAUUUUGGAGUCUCUGUGAUUACUUUGCAGAAGAAAGCUAUUAUGAAGAAAUAGUCUAAGGAACUAACUCAUGCCAGGUGCAAUACGAUGUACAGCAAAGGGAGCCUUGGUGUCACAGAUCAGAUGGAAAUUCUCUCCCGUCUUGUCAGUGCUCAUGACGUCCAUGAAUCCAGCAGGAAACAGGACACCGGCGAUAAAAAGUUCCCUUUGUAACCAGACCAGCUGAGACCAGUUACAAAGCCUACCCCAGGUAUCCGACCAGAUGACUUCAAAAAGACCUCAGGCUUCAUUAUAAUCUAAUUUCCAUGCUAAAUGACACUUCCACCAGUGUCAUGACGGUUGCCAGUCCCCGUGACAAUGACCAGAAGGAGCCAUAAAAGGACAAAAACAAGGGAGCCCCUCAUUCCAAGAAGUGUACCGCCCAGUUCCAGAAAAGACAUGGAUAUUCCUCCUCUUGCUUUUAAUGUCCAGCCAUCAUUAAGGAAACCCUAUAUGAUAACCCCCUCACCCCUCACUAAUUGAGAAGUUGAUUUGUGAGCCAAGCUCCCGCUUCUCAAUUCCAUGGCCAUCGAAUAAAGCCUGCACCACUUGACACUCA
rnacentral:lncRNA from 1 species